AUUAGAUAAAAAACCAACGCCCUUCGGGGCUCCUUGGUGAAUCAUAAUAACUUAACGAAUCGCAUGGCCUUGCGCCGGCGAUGGUUCAUUCAAAUUUCUGCCCUAUCAACUCUCGUUGGUAGGAUAGUGGCCUACCAUGGUGGCAACGGGUAACGGGGAAUUAGGGUUCGAUUCCGGAGAGGGAGCCUGAGAAACGGCUACCACAUCCAAGGAAGGCAGCAGGCGCGCAAAUUACCCAAUCCCGAUACGGGGAGGUAGUGACAAUAAAUACUGAUACGGGGCUCUUUUGGGUCUCGUAAUUGGAAUGAGAACAAUUUAAAUCCCUUAACGAGGAACAAUUGGAGGGCAAGUCUGGUGCCAGCAGCCGCGGUAAUUCCAGCUCCAAUAGCGUAUAUUAAAGUUGUUGCAGUUAAAAAGUUCGUAGUUGAACCUUGGCCCUGGCUGGCCGGUCCGCCUCACCGCGAGUACUGGUCCGGCUGGGGCUUUCCUUCUGGGGAACCUCAUGGCCUUCACUGG
rnacentral:rRNA from 1 species